CACAGUACAGCUCAUUUUAGGUGUGUUUUGUUACUGUUCUCAGAUUCUUCCACCCUAUGGAUACAUCCCUCUGUUUGCACCUCCCUAUAGGAAUCAGCUGAUGUCCCCAUAUGGAUACCCGAUGGUUCUUGAGGCACCUCUUCCACAGAGUCCAGCCUAUCAGCAGCUCCCAAACAGUCCAGUGUUACCUGCUGAAAAUGCUGUAGGACCAGCAGCUCCUAUUGGAAAUGCACCUCAGCCAGUACAGCAGCAGCAACAACAACAACAGACUCCCCAGAUUGUAUACAUGAUCCAGCAGCCUAUGAGCUCUCAACUCGCUCUUGGAGGUCUUAGCUCGGAGGAACUUGAGAUGGCAGCUAAGAUGAGCCAGUUGGGUGUAUAUAUGCCUACCGUCCUCACAAACCAGCCGCCAGGAGCUG